GACAGAGGUGCCAAGCGUUAGGCGGAAUCACUGGGCUUAAAGCGUGUGUAGGCGGAUCGGUAAGUACCUUGUGAAAUCCCACAGCUUAACUGUGGAACUGCUUGGUAUACUGCCAGUCUUGAGCCACUUAGGGGCUACCGGAACAAAUGGUGGAGCGGUGAAAUGCGUAGAUAUCAUUUGGAACGCCAAUGGUGAAAACAGGUAGCUGGGAGUGUGCUGACGCUGAGACACGAAAGCCAGGGGAGCAAACGGG
rnacentral:rRNA from 1 species